GACGAACCGAGCGAACGUUAUUCGGAAUCACUGGGCUUAAAGGGUGCGUAGGCGGGUCUUUAAGUCAGGGGUGAAAUCCUGGAGCUCAACUCCAGAACUGCCUUUGAUACUGAAGAUCUUGAGUUCGGGAGAGGUGAGUGGAACUGCGAGUGUAGAGGUGAAAUUCGUAGAUAUUCGCAAGAACACCAGUGGCGAAGGCGGCUCACUGGCCCGAUACUGACGCUGAGGCACGAAAGCGUGGGGAGCAAACAGG
rnacentral:rRNA from 1 species